rnacentral:lncRNA from 1 species
CUGGGCUUGGGGAAGUUUGCAAUACAGGGGCCCUGUGAAUUCAGUACAGACCCUGGGCUCAGCUGAACUCUUCCCCUAAGAUGGCUGGAGGGAGGUGGCGUAAAAGCCUCAGUAAAGUCCCUCCGAGCAGCUUCCUAGCCUUUGUGCGUGCCUCUCACUCACUCACUCUCUUUGCAGUCCAGGCAGGGAUCCGCAGCAGCUAUUAGGAGAAGCUGGGAGGAGGGACGUUCGAGUUGCCAGACCUGGUAAAGGUGAAAGGAAAGGAUCUCGUCCUUGCACCCUCCACGGAGGAUCUACCUCAUCUUCACCUCUCCCCCAGGGAAAUGCCUGCAGGGGGUACUGCCCAGCCCUGGCUGAGCCGCUUCCUCGGGGGACAGUCUCCAGGCUGCUGGAAUAGACAGACCUCGCACCCCGCGAGUCUUCUGCCUGCUGAGGAUGAGCUGCGUCCAGACCCGCUUUGCAGAGCUGAGUUGAUCCCAGGCCUUCUGCUCUUUGACAUGACGCCUGCUGCACACUGAGAGGCUUGGGUGAGAGCAGGCCUGGCCCAGCCAGCACGGCGGGGAGUGCGGGUCUAGGGCUGCCCGUGGCAGGGUCUGAGAGCCCCUCACAGCGCAGUGA